rnacentral:piRNA from 1 species
UAGGAACUGAGUGGAGAUGUUAAAAGAGA